UACGAAGGGGGCUAGCGUUGUUCGGAAUCACUGGGCGUAAAGGGCGCGUAGGCGGCUUUUCAAGUCGGGGGUGAAAGCCUGUGGCUCAACCACAGAAUUGCCUUCGAUACUGUUAGGCUUGAGACCGGAAGAGGUGAGUGGAACUGCGAGUGUAGAGGUGAAAUUCGUAGAUAUUCGCAAGAACACCAGUGGCGAAGGCGGCUCACUGGUCCGGUUCUGACGCUGAGGCGCGUAAGCGUGGGGAGCAAACAGG
rnacentral:rRNA from 1 species